GCGGCGUGCUUAACACAUGCAAGUCGAACGAACCUUCGGGUUAGUGGCGGACGGGUGAGUAACGCGUGAGAAUCUGCCCUCAGGAGGGGGAUAACAGCUGGAAACGGCUGCUAAUACCCCAUAUGCCGCGAGGUGAAAUGAAUUUCGCCUGAGGAUGAGCUCGCGUCUGAUUAGCUAGUUGGUGUAGGUAAAGGCUUACCAAGGCGACGAUCAGUAGCUGGUCUGAGAGGAUGAUCAGCCACACUGGGACUGAGACACGGCCCAGACUCCUACGGGAGGCAGCAGUGAGGAAUUUUCCGCAAUGGGCGAAAGCCUGACGGAGCAAUACCGCGUGAAGGAUUAAGGCCUAUGGGUUGUAAACUUCUUUUCUCAGAGAAGAAUUUUGACGGUAUCUGAGGAAUAAGCAUCGG
rnacentral:rRNA from 1 species